AUUGAACGCUGGCGGAAUGCUUUACACAUGCAAGUCGAGCGGCAGCGCGGGGGCAACCCUGGCGGCGAGCGGCGAACGGGUGAGUAACACAUCGGAACGUACCCCGUCGUGGGGGAUAACACAGCGAAAGCUGUGCUAAUACCGCAUACGACCUGAGGGUGAAAGCGGGGGAUCGCAAGACCUCGCGCGAUGGGAGCGGCCGAUAUCGGAUUAGCUUGUUGGUGAGGUAAAAGGCUCACCAAGGCGACGAUCCGUAGCUGGUCUGAGAGGACGACCAGCCACACUGGAACUGAGACACGGUCCAGACUCCUACGGGAGGCAGCAGUGGGGAAUUUUGGGACAAAUGGGGGGCAACCCUGAUCCAGCCAUUCCGCGUGAGUGAAGAAGGCUCGGUUGUAAG
rnacentral:rRNA from 1 species